GGUAGGGGUCCGUUAUGCUCCUGGUCUGCUGGCUUUCCAAAUAAAGUCACUCUUCCUUGUCCCGACAGCUCGUUGUGCAACAAGCAGUAUGAGCUUGGACUUGGAAACACAUUUAGGCACAUCCAGCCAGGAGCCAUGCCUAUCAGAGAUGGCUAGCCCCCAGGUGGGGAAUUUUUGAGUAAGGCCCUAGCAGCUGCCCAUACCUCUCGUCCCAGAGGAUCUUCCCUUCAAUAUUCUCCAAAGUGGCACCAGCUGCUCCCGCGCUUGGGCGUUGGAGCAGGGAAUCAAUUUGAGAGACAGCGGGCUCCCUAUAGCAGGAUAUAAUCGUAGUAGCUGGAGCAGUCAUCUUGUACCACAAAAUGAAUGAUGAAGUCUGAGGAUGGCAAAGCAGCAAGACAGAACAAGCCUGGAUUCCUUAUUAUAACUGGAACUACAAUGCUCCCCACCUAGACUUUUACAUAGGAGGAAAUAAACUUUUACUAUGAUUAAUCCAUUUCCAUUA